rnacentral:tRNA from 1 species
GCCUUCUUAGCUCAGUGGUAGAGCGUUGGUCUCGUAUUAAUGGAUUAGACAACCAAAGGCCGAGAGUUCAAUCCUCUCAGGAGGCA